rnacentral:rRNA from 1 species
UACAGAGGGGGCGAGCGUUGUUCGGAAUUACUGGGCGUAAAGGGCGCGUAGGCGGCCUUCUAAGUCGAACGUGAAAUCCCCGGGCUCAACCCGGGAACUGCGUCCGAUACUGGGAGGCUUGAAUCCGGGAGAGGGAUGUGGAAUUCCAGGUAUAGCGGUGAAAUGCGUAGAUAUCUGGAGGAACACCGGUGGCGAAGGCGGCAUCCUGGACCGGUAUUGACGCUGAGGCGCGAAAGCCAGGGGAGCAAAGCGGG